UAAACAUUUAUAAGAGCGUUUAGAAAGUGCAGUUCAAAUUUCGCAACACUACGCAAAUUGUGUCGUUUCCCAUUUUGCCUCGCGCUCACUCACUCUGCUGAUUCCCCUCCCUCUCACCGCACUCUCUCCCCAAAUCCCUAGCUCCCUCUCGCCGGCGCCGCUCUCCCUCACGCCGGCGCCGCUCCCUAGCUCGCCCGCGUCGGCGUCGCCCCUUCUCCCUUUCUCCUGCGCUGCCUUCUCCCUCUCGCCGGCGUCUCCUGCGCCACCUUCUCCCGCUCGAGGCAAAGUUGCCCUUUUUACCAAGGUCGAGGAGGAGCGGGAGGACAGCCUUGUCCUGCUCGACGGCGGUGACGGAUUUCUUCUGCUUGACGACGCCGGCGACGAACACCGGCGCUCCUCGUCGCCCUCGACCUGCAAGGAGGAGCGCCUACCCCAUGUUGAGCCGCAGAUUUGCUGGAGCAAGGAGUGCGUGAAGAAGCCCCUGCAGCGGCAGAAGUAGGGGCGGGGGAGUGAGUCGGACGCCGGGGUCGUCCAUGGCGUCAUCGAAGCAGAGCAGCGGUGUGUCCUUGUUCAGGCUGCGGCAGCUCCUCCAUGCGCCCCUCCAUCUUCCUCUGCUGCGUCGACGGUGGACUGUGUCUGCAGGUGGAGUACUUGCUUGAGGUCCAGGUUCAUCCUCUUCUGGUGGAGAACAAUUCAGACGCGUACGAUUCGCUUGAUUCGGGUGGGAACAUUACAAUCAAGUGGGCACUGGAAUGGUCAUAUGUGGUGUUAAUGGCCUGAAGAUUUUAUCAGAUUAUCCACCAUUCAUCCUGCAACCGGACUGGCAAAUACUGCUGAAUAUGUUCAGAAGCAGAAAUUGGAACAAAGGAAAACAUCAUAUGCUCCGACCAGAUUAAUUUCCAACUUAGCUACUCCCUCCGUUCCCAAAUAAUUGUCUUUCUAGCCAUCUCAAAUGGACUACAACAUACGGAUGUAUGUAGACAUGUUUUAGAGUGUAGAUUCACUCAUUUUGCUCCGUAUGUAGUCACUUGUUGAAAUCUCUAGAAAGACAACUAUUUAGGAACGGAGGGAGUAGAUGCCUAGUUAUGGGAAUCGACCAGAUUAAUUUCCAACUCAGCAAGAUCGUUGCUAUGGAGAUAGAGGAGUCGUAGGUUGGGCAUCGCCCCCUCCUCAAAUCCCAGGAGUACUCUAUGGAUUACAGAAGAAUUGAUUUGGGUGAGGGAAGGAGAACCUGCCUGGAAGCAACGUGCUGCAGCGGCGGGGGCGAGCUAGGUGGGCUGUGCGCGGCGAGGACCAAUCUGGGGCGGCGACGACCAAGCUGGGCGGGGCGGCUACCAAGCGGGCACAACGGCGGCCAAGCUGGGCGGGCGCGGCAGCAACCAAGCGGGCGCAGCGGAGGCCGAACUGGGCACCUAGGAUCGGGACCGAGCGCCUGGACGAAGGGGGCGAGUACCUGCAGGCGGGGCCCGAGCGCUUGGACGAAGGGGAUGACGCGAGCUCCUGCAGGAGGAAGAUGGCACGCUGGAGAAGGAAGACGGGCGAGCUCCUGUAGGAAGAAGACGACGCGAGCUUUGGAGGAGGAAGACGACUCAAAUUUCAAAUCGAGGGUAAAACUGUCCAUUUCCCCAUUUGUCGGCUGUGUCCUAAAAUUCUAAACGCUCUUAUAAAAGUUUACAGAGGGAGUAUAUACACUAGUAGAAAACAGGGCUUUGGUCCAAGGCCAGAUAAGGGCAUUAAUCCCGGUUCUCUUAUGA